rnacentral:rRNA from 1 species
UAGUACACUUAAUUUUAAUUGUUUAAUACUAGGAUACUAAGAGAUAUGUUCUUGAAAUUUAAAAAAUUUGGCGGUAUUUUAGUCUAGUUAGAGGAACCUGUUUUAUAAACGACCCUACACGCAUUAUCUUACUUUUUUUUGUAUGUUUGUAUACCGUCAUUAUUAGAUAAUUUGAGAAAUAAUAUUAUUGGAAUCAUAGUUUGAGUAUAUUAGAUCAAGGUGCAGCUUAUAAAGAAGAAAAAAUGGGUUACAAUAAAAUUUAUUUAACGGAGUUAAAAUUUAAAAUUUAAAUGAAGGAGGAUUUAAUUGUAAAAUUGGGAAUAAUAAAACUUUUUGAUAUAAGCUCUAAAUUNUGUACAUAU